rnacentral:rRNA from 1 species
AGAGUUUGAUCAUGGCUCAGAUUGAACGCUGGCGGCAGGCCUAACACAUGCAAGUCGAACGGUAACAGGAAGCAGCUUGCUGCUUCGCUGACGAGUGGCGGACGGGUGAGUAAUGUCUGGGAAGCUGCCUGAUGGAGGGGGAUAACUACUGGAAACGGUAGCUAAUACCGCAUAAUGUCGCAAGACCAAAGAGGGGGACCUUCGGGCCUCUUGCCAUCGGAUGUGCCCAGAUGGGAUUAGCUUGUUGGUGGGGUAACGGCUCACCAAGGCGACGAUCCCUAGCUGGUCUGAGAGGAUGACCAGCCACACUGGAACUGAGACACGGUCCAGACUCCUACGGGAGGCAGCAGUGGGGAAUAUUGCACAAUGGGCGCAAGCCUGAUGCAGCCAUGCCGCGUGUAUGAAGAAGGCCUUCGGGUUGUAAAGUACUUUCAGCGGGGAGGAAGGGAGUAAAGUUAAUACCUUUGCUCAUUGACGUUACCCGCAGAAGAAGCACCGGCUAACUCCGUGCCAGCAGCCGCGGUAAUACGGAGGGUGCAAGCGUUAAUCGGAAUUACUGGGCGUAAAACGCACGCAGGCGGUUUGUUAAGUCAGAUGUGAAAUCCCCGGGCUCAACCUGGGAACUGCAUCUGAUACUGGCAAGCUUGAGUCUCGUAGAGGGGGGUAGAAUUCCAGGUGUAGCGGUGAAAUGCGUAGAGAUCUGGAGGAAUACCGGUGGCGAAGGCGGCCCCCUGGACGAAGACUGACGCUCAGGUGCGAAAGCGUGGGGAGCAAACAGGAUUAGAUACCCUGGUAGUCCACGCCGUAAACGAUGUCGACUUGGAGGUUGUGCCCUUGAGGCGUGGCUUCCGGAGCUAACGCGUUAAGUCGACCGCCUGGGGAGUACGGCCGCAAGGUUAAAACUCAAAUGAAUUGACGGGGGCCCGCACAAGCGGUGGAGCAUGUGGUUUAAUUCGAUGCAACGCGAAGAACCUUACCUGGUCUUGACAUCCACGGAAGUUUUCAGAGAUGAGAAUGUGCCUUCGGGAACCGUGAGACAGGUGCUGCAUGGCUGUCGUCAGCUCGUGUUGUGAAAUGUUGGGUUAAGUCCCGCAACGAGCGCAACCCUUAUCCUUUGUUGCCAGCGGUCCGGCCGGGAACUCAAAGGAGACUGCCAGUGAUAAACUGGAGGAAGGUGGGGAUGACGUCAAGUCAUCAUGGCCCUUACGACCAGGGCUACACACGUGCUACAAUGGCGCAUACAAAGAGAAGCGACCUCGCGAGAGCAAGCGGACCUCAUAAAGUGCGUCGUAGUCCGGAUUGGAGUCUGCAACUCGACUCCAUGAAGUCGGAAUCGCUAGUAAUCGUGGAUCAGAAUGCCACGGUGAAUACGUUCCCGGGCCUUGUACACACCGCCCGUCACACCAUGGGAGUGGGUUGCAAAAGAAGUAGGUAGCUUAACCUUCGGGAGGGCGCUUACCACUUUGUGAUUCAUGACUGGGGUGAAGUCGGAACAAGGUA